GACGAACGCUGGCGGCGUGCCUAAUACAUGCAAGUCGAACGAGAGCGACCGGUGCUUGCACUGGUCAAUCUAGUGGCGAACGGGUGAGUAACACGUGGGUAACCUGCCCAUCAGAGGGGGAUAACAUUCGGAAACGGAUGCUAAAACCGCAUAGGUCUUCGAACCGCAUGGUUUGAAGAGGAAAAGAGGCGCAAGCUUCUGCUGAUGGAUGGACCCGCGGUGCAUUAGCUAGUUGGUGAGGUAACGGCUCACCAAGGCCGUGAUGCAUAGCCGACCUGAGAGGGUGAUCGGCCACAUUGGGACUGAGUCACGGCCCAAACUCCUACGGGAGGCAGCAGUAGGGAAUCUUCCGCAAUGGACGCAAGUCUGACGGAGCAACGCCGCGUGAGUGAAGAAGGUUUUCGGAUCGUAAAACUCUGUUGUUAGAGAAGAACAAGUGCUAGAGUAACUGUUAGCGCCUUGACGGUAUCUAACCAGAAAGCCACGGCUAAUUACGUG
rnacentral:rRNA from 1 species